rnacentral:lncRNA from 1 species
UUACCAGUAAAGAUAUGAAUAUUAAUUUUUUUUAUCCAAAAAAUUAUGGAUAAAAUGUGUAGGUAUAUGUUAAGUUGUGAGCAUUUAGGGUGCGUUUGGUUCGCAUUAUGAAAGAUUACUAGGAAUGAAAAGAUGUCCGAAAAUUUUAUUUCUAUUCAUCCUAUUACUAAGAAUGUUGAAUUUCUGUGUUUGGUUCGCACGGUCAUAUUAUUUAACCAUGUUAUUUAAAAUUAAAAAAAAUAUACAAUUAAUUAAUUUAUUUUUUAAUUAAUUUUAUAUAAUACUAUAAAAAAUAUUAGCAUCUUUUUAGAAAAAAGGGAGAGAGAGUAUAGGUUAAAGAGAGAGAGCAUAAUUAAAAAAAAAUAGAGAGAGAAAUAGAGUCGAAAUUAGAGGGAGUGAGAGAGUUGAGAUUUUAGAAAAAGAUAGAGAGAGAAAGCUUAGUUUAGAGAGAGAAAAAAAUUAAAUUUUAGAGAGAAAGAUAAGUUUAGAAAGAGAUAUGAGGUUAAAAGUAAAGAAAAAUAAUACUAAUUAGCUGGCCGGUAGGGAGAAAGAAAGAGAUUAGACAUAUUAGGAUUACCCCAAUUCAUUAAUAUGAGAAUAUCCACCCUCCCUCAAGGGAAUAAGAUUAGUAUUUUGGGAUGAAUCUUAUUCCCAAGUAAAUCUAAUAUUACCAACUAGAUUACUUAGUGCGUUUAGCCAAACACCGUCAUAUUUUUUUUAUUCCUACUGGAUUAUUAGGAAUCUUUAAAAGAUAGCGUGAACCAAACGCACCCUUAGGGUAAUCAGUGGAUACCCACAGGUACUCGUAUAUAUUUUUUGAAUUAAAAAAAAUAAUCUUUAUGAUAUUUCAUGAUCAUGAAAAAUUUUAUUAAUUUUGUUGCAUAAAAAUUUGUAAUGAUAAAAUACUUUUAUAUUAUAUAAUUUAUGCAUUUUAAGAUUUUAUAUUAUUUAUUAUAUGUUAUGAUGUUUAAAUAAUAAGUUAUGCUAUACUUUUAAAAAUUAUAUAUACGUGUUUUGUAUUUGGGAAAUAUAAGAGUAAAAAAAAAAAAUCUUGCCGGUAACCUGCAUAUUGGCCGGGUAUGGAUAAAAAUGCUAACUAUCUAAAAGUUUACAGAUAAAUUCUAUUCAUAUUCAUAUGACCUGCAAGUAUAAUGAUCGAUUCUAUUCAUAUUCAUACGACCUGCAAGUAUAAUGAUCCAUCAGUGAGUUAUCCAACAUGUCUGUUUACUAGGUCAUGUUAAGUUGGUGCCUUCCUUUUGAAUUUGGAUUGAGUCAAAAUUAAUUAAAUUAUAAAGUUGGUUUAUGAAAAAUAACAGGCCUAUGGAAUAUGUCAAUUAGUUUUGAAGUCGAUUUUCAAUGGUGGACAAUAUGUGUUUACCAAUGCAAGGCUGAACUGUAUCUUUCUUUCUAUACGAUAAAGAUAUUAUUCGGACCGCAUGUACCAUAAGCAUUCUUAGUUUAUGCUUUUCAAGACGAGUCUAAUUAAUAGUGGUUGAUUUGAUAGAGCUCAUUAUAGUAUUUCUAGAGUUGAGUGGUUAUCACAGAAUAAUAAUAUUAAUAUAAAUAUUUGAAAUGAUUAAAGGAAUUUAUUUAAAGACUAAAAAAUCAGAAGCAGCAAAUCUAUUACUAUAUAUAAAAGUAGAACCCUUAAUGAACCCUAUGUGAGAAGCUGACACGUGACUUUUUAUAUGCUUGCCACGUGUCAAACUCAAAUAUGGAUAUUUGGUUACGAAUUAUUUGAAAUUAUUGGUUUAAUUAAUUAUUUAAAAAUAUUGGCGAAUUAUUUUUUCGUGGUGGAAAUAAUCUGUUGCAAACUCAAAUUUCAUAUUGGCAGAUAAUUAAUUAUUUAAAAUUAUUGGUUGCGAAAUAAGCAAUAAUCUGUUGUGAAUUAUUUGAAAUGGUUAGUUGCGAGAAAAAUGGUCAAACUCAAAUUUCAUAUUGGCAGAUAAUUAAUUAUUUAAAAUUAUUGGUUCCGAAAUCAAUAAUCUAACGGUCAAACUCAAAUUUCGUAUUGGCAGAUAAUAGUGAAACUCAAAUUUCGUAUUGGCAGAUAACAGUGAAACUCAAAUUUCGUAUUGGCAGAUAAUUAAUUAUUUAAAAUUAGUGGUUGCGAAAUAAGCAAUAAUCUGUUGCGAAUUAUUUGAAAUGGUUAGUUGCGAAAAAAAUGGUCAAACUCAAAUUUCGUAUUGGCAAAUAAUUAAUUAUUUAAAAUUAUUGGUUGAGAAAUACGCAAUAAUCUGUUGCGAAU